AUAAAAUAAAUCAUGUCAAAAGACUUUAUCAAUUGAAUUGAAGCGCAACUUGCUUUUGAUAAUUGAAGACGGGAAAAGAGAGGGACUGCUCUGCACUACAGACUUGUGUGCUUGGGAGUUAACAGUAGCACAAUGUAUUAUUCUUGCAAAUAUCUCUGUUACAUUACAAAAAGUUCCUCGGGAUUUGUUUUCUGUUUUC